AAUGAACGCUGGCGGCAUGCCUAACACAUGCAAGUCGAACGAAGGCUUCGGCCUUAGUGGCGCACGGGUGCGUAACGCGUGGGAAUCUACCCUUAGGUUCGGAAUAACAGUUGGAAACGACUGCUAAUACCGGAUGAUGACGUAAGUCCAAAGAUUUAUCGCCUAGGGAUGAGCCCGCGUAGGAUUAGCUAGUUGGUGUGGUAAAGGCGCACCAAGGCGACGAUCCUUAGCUGGUCUGAGAGGAUGAUCAGCCACACUGGGACUGAGACACGGCCCAGACUCCUACGGGAGGCAGCAGUGGGGAAUAUUGGACAAUGGGCGAAAGCCUGAUCCAGCAAUGCCGCGUGAGUGAUGAAGGCCUUAGGGUUGUAAAGCUCUUUUACCCGGGAUGAUAAUGACAGUACCGGGAGAAUAAGCUCCGGCUAACUCCGU
rnacentral:rRNA from 1 species